rnacentral:misc_RNA from 1 species
GUGAAUCAUCAAAUUUUUGAACGCAAAUUGCACUCUCUUGGGAGAGUGUGCGUGUUUGAGGGUCAGCCUAAAAAAAAUUGACAUAGUUGCUGUUUCGCGGUGUCAUUCGUCGGAAAUUGGGUCAGCGUAGACCUUUGGUCUUUAAGCGGCUUAAAAUUUUCUUUACAAUUCUACGAACGGUUCUAAGAUGUACUUCUUACACGUUUAAGGUA